rnacentral:rRNA from 1 species
UGCCUACGGGAGGCAGCAGUAGGGAAUAUUGCUCAAUGGGGGAAACCCUGAAGCAGCAACGCCGCGUGGAGGAUGAAGGUUUUCGGAUUGUAAACUCCUUUUGUUAGAGAAGAUAAUGACGGUAUCUAACGAAUAAGCACCGGCUAACUCCGUGUCAGCAGCCGCGGUAAUACGGAGGGUGCAAGCGUUACUCGGAAUCACUGGGCGUAAAGGGAGCGUAGACGGAAAGGCAAGUCAGAAGUGAAAGCCCAAGGCUCAACCAUGGGACUGCUUUUGAAACUGUCAAACUAGA